CAGCAGUUUCCGUUGCCAAAGAAAGCCAAAGAUAUUUGUUUUCGCUCAGAGAAGGCGGUAAUCUGACUUUGGGACGCCAAAAGAGGAGCGAUCAAGUCUCUAAAAAUCUUCUGACCUUUGUGGACAUUGCUUACAAAUUGAAAACGGCCGAGGACUUUCAAGCAGAGAAAAGUGAACCAGCUGGAGCACCAAGCAAAUGGUCGCUAUGGCCGGUGAAGUCCAGUAUGUCAGUAAGCUUAUUCUAAAUUGGGAUCGAAGAUAAUGUAAGAGGCAUCAUUCAGUUUUCUCAGUAAGAGAAAUCAUGCCUGGAUUUUAUAUGAGUGACACAGCUGUUGCGUUUGCGGUAUUGAUCUGACUGAUGGAGUUCUCCUUUAACAUCAACGAGUUGCUGCCUGAUCUCAUCACACUCGUCGACGAUAAAUUGGCACCAUUUCGGGCUCGAGUGAAAAAUGACAGGUAUGAAUUUGCAAACAAGCAAGCUCAACUCAAAACAGUGAUUGAUAAGAUGGGUGAUGCUUCUACAAGGGCUCAAGGUUUGCGUGCACCUAUCACCAGUGCAGUAAAACUCCAACAUUCAGACCACAGGCUUUACGUUAUGAAGGAUCCAUCAGCAAACAGUGAUUUAGGAGCAGUCGUUGGGAUUCUAAAAGUUGGUCAUAAGAAGCUCUUUUUACUGGACACGCAAAGUGUGCAGUAUGAGGUUAAUCCCUUGUGUGUACUGGAUUUCUACAUUCAUGAGUCUCGUCAAAGAACAGGGUGUGGCAAUAGGAUGUUUGAGCACAUGUUGAAGAUGGAGGGUAGAAUGGCACACCAGUUGGCUAUAGACAGACCUUCUCACAAGUUUGUCUCUUUUCUGAAGAAGUACUAUGGUCUAAAGAAUGCUAUACCACAGGCCAAUAACUUUGUUAUCCACGAGCACUUCUUCUCUGAUUUGCAAGCUGUCGGUCAUGUACCUCGUCGAAGUCAACGCCUUGCUAAUGCUGGUCAGUCAGGAAGGCCUCCAGUUCAUCCGUACCGAAGAACAAACCAACAUGAUAACGAGCCACCGCUGCUGCAGAGAUCUCAGUCCGGCUUAUCAAGUCGCCUGUCAACUCGACCGAACAGUGGCAGAGAGUUGUCAUCCUUUUCGAAUGAUAGCGCACACAAGACAGAAGCUGAACCAAGCACCGCACUUACAAUAGGUGGCUCACUUCGAGAUAUCCACCUGCCCCCUGUUGUACCCAGGCCUCCUUAGAGAAAAUCAGCUCCAGGCUCACGGGAUUCCUCUGCAGGGGGUAGGUCUGUGACAAGAGGGAUGGAGUUAGGACCAUAUGAAGCAACCAAUCACGUUCGCUCAGAAGCUUUCAACUCGUCACGUGGUUUGGCGGCUCGCGCCACAUCGUACAGUCGCCACUCGAGCCGCGCUGGGUCAGCGGAUAUUGCAAAGUCGCACAAGGACGCUGCAGUAGCAGUCAUAGCAUUGGACACGAAAGCUGAUAACAGUAGCUUUUAUAGAAACAAUAGUGGAGGGAGAGCUAGAUCACUGCAUCUCACUUCAGUGGAGAAUCCUUUCGUGGAACAGGUGGUGACAGUACCGAUUGCUGCACAGAAACAACAAGAAAGAGUCUCAUCAGCAGUUGCGUCACAAGUCGCCAAAGUCGAACAAGGUCAUAACUCCAAUAUCUCUAGCAGCCAAGCACUGCAAGCAACUGUCCCUCCAAGCGGAUUAACUUCCAGUGGAAACUUUUCCGUCAGCACACUUUUCAACAAUCACUAUGCCGUCCGUCCGCCGUUCAUGGGAAGUUCCUGGAACAUUUUUGGAGUGCCGACUAACUUGAACAAAGACCCCAGUUCGGCAAAUUAUAUGUACACGAGAAGAACUCAAAAGCGACAUCACCCAUUCUGAAAACAAAAACUUUUUUUUUUUUAAUCCAAAUUUAUUUAAUAUGUAUUAUAUAUAAAUAAGUUUUUUUUUAAAUCAAAGUUAAUGAUAACAGAGUUUGCUUACUCUGGUGAUGAACGAAUGACAUUCUCUCACUAUAGCCUUAUUCUUAUUUACGUGGGAGUCUCUAAUUUCACCAACAAGACUCGCUUUCUAAUUGGAAGCUUUUAACUUUCAACUGACAUGAACCAAUUUCCAAACGAAGGAAUGUGAAAAGAACACUCACGUGGAAAGAGCACAGCUUUGCUCAAAGUGGAAUAUCGGUUCAUUCGAAAACAUCUUACUCUGAACAGUUCAUAUAACUGGGUGGCACUACGUGAUGGUCUAAGUCUACAGUCUACCGUAGCCGCGCGUCUGAGGGUCGUAAUUAUCUCUUGGUCACUUACCUUUGCGGAGUGGAUAAUUCCCUCGUGUACAGUCAUCUGCCUGAGGCUCCUUGCGUGAGACCUUCAUACAUGCUUCCCCUUGGAUAGCCUCCUUCGCAGACGUUCUUUGAGUUCGUCACGCAAUCUUCCUCCUGUUGGGUAAGAAGAUUGCGUGACGUGCACGAAAACCGUCUGCGUGGGACCCUACCAAAGAUAUGGCAUUUGAUUCUCAGAAAUGGCCACUAUUGACCGCGUGUAUUAGUUGAGACUUGACUAUGGCGUGACUCGAUAAGAGUGGUUUUCAACUGAGUAUCGAGUAUUUUUCUUCAUUGGCCUAAAGAACUUCGUGAUCUACUCAAUCAGUCAGAUGGAAAACACUUGUUCGCAUGGGUGGGACAAGUUCGAGUUUUGAUUGGUUCACUGUGUUCUUUACGUUUGUUGUGAUUGGUGAUAGUAAUUGCUUUGGAUUUGUUUUUACGAUACUCGAAAACUGCUCUAAUACGCUAUGCAUACAUACAUACAUACUUUAUUGACUUUCCUCUAAGAGGCUUUUCAAAGACAAUAACGUAAAUUUAAAUAAGUGCAACAAUAAAAAUAAUAAAGUGGCAACAAUGUACGACAAAAUAAGAUGGCAACAAUGUACGACAAUAGCAAACUAAGAAUGUAACAUAUGGUUUAGUUGAAGCAGUUUCAUUUUUUUAAAGAAAUAUGAGUGUGGCAGAAGUCAGUUUUCUUUUAUUCUGAUCUCAUUAAAUGUCUUUUGGUAAAAUUACGCGUUCUUAUUGGGCAGUUAAAUAUUUUUAUGUUUUGUACUUUUUCGAAGAAGGUGUAUGAAAAUGACACACAUAGCAUACCACCGUGGUUAUAACUCAAUCUUUUGCUUCCUUUCCUACUCAAAUACGAUAACUGAAAUUGCGCGUGUUUCUCAGAUGCCAUAGUGAUUUUACAAGCAAUAAGAAGUGAACUGUACGUGGCAUGCUACGCUCGGGGACCUUUUAUAUCGCAUCGAAAUUAAUUCAAUAGCAUUGUGUACCAUUUGAGUAUCGUUAACUGGCGCUUCAAUCUUAAAUGAAACGGAAUGGAAUACAGACCCAUUCUCAUGCGAUGUUAGGAUUUGUAAGCCACGCUUACGUAAACGAGACUUCUUCGUUAUGCGGUGGUCGCUGUUGUAGCCUGUGUACAUCCGCGGGGCAGAUGUACACGGGCUAUCGCUGUUGCAGGAAUCGUAACUGCUACAAAUGAUCUAACACUGACGAAACAUGCUGUAUCCAUUUGUAGGAGUAUCACGUCUUCUUGACCAAUCAAUGGCCAUCAAACUAAACUCAUACGUGUAUUAUCUCACGUGUCAAACGUUUUAACAUAUCGAUACAACGUGAAAAUGUUUUCUUCGACUUCCUUACCGGUUCAAAUUUUUUGCAGCUGUUUUGGUUGAGUUUGGCUAUCAAAUAUGGACCGUAUAGACCUCUUGUGAAAAAUCCUCCGUAGGAAAAAAGAUGGCGGCUGUACAUUUUACCACAAUACCUUGCGAACCUACC